rnacentral:misc_RNA from 1 species
UCAAACUUGGUCAUUUAGAGGAAGUAAAAGUCGUAACAAGGUCUCCGUUGGUGAACCAGCGGAGGGAUCAUUACAGAGUCUCUGACUCCCAAACCACUGUGCACAUACCUCUGUUGCUUCGGCGGGUCCCGUCCUCCCUUGGGGUGGAGGACGGAGGCCAGGCCCGCCGGAGCGUCCUGAAAAACUGUUCUGAAGUUGGCUUCUGAGUGUGCUAAACAAUACGUUUACAACUUUCAACAAUGGAUCUCUUGGCUCUGGCAUCGAUGAAGAACGCAGC